GUCUGAUUCAGUGCAGCAAUGGUUCGUUUAAUCAUUUCAGCGCUGUUGAUCUGUGGCAUGGGCUUGUUUACAGCUGUUAAAUCAUCUCAGGUAGUCAAUUUGUCAGCUCAGCCAGGAGAGAACAUCACUAUUUGGUGUCAGCACACCUCAGUAACGGGAAAAAACGUGCACUGGCUCAAGCAAACAAACAAUUCUGUACCUAUUGCCAUUGUAUACAUGAUGAUAAACUACCAGCUUAAGGAACUACAUGCUAAUUAUUUAAAUUAUUUUAAACAAGAUCAUAUUCUGAUGACUCUGGACAUCAAAAACACCUCCCUGAGAAUUUUGAAUGUGGAUGUUUCUGAUUCUGGUCUGUACUUCUGUGGUUGGGACAACUGGGUGAUGACAUUUGGUGAUGGAACAAAUCUAGACAUUAAAGAGAGGAGUGUUACACCACUGCAAAAUGAAACAGAAAUAACAAAUAAAGAUCUCAAGAAGAGCCCGAUUUCUACAAGAGACUGUUCUGAAAACAUAUUUUAUAAACUGACCUUUAUUUUUGGUGGUAUUAUUGUUAUACUCAUCAUCAUUCCGCUCAUUAUUAAGAUAAAGAACAGAAAUAUGCAGGAAAAAGGUAACAGUGAAUCUAUUCAUUCAGAAGAUUUACAUACAUCGCUGUAUGUAUAUCAUUUGUAUAAAUAACU